AGUUGAAGCUGUAACUAUCCCCGCUCUUCUCAAAUUAGACUCGCAGAUCAAAAACCAUACAAUUGAGGAAUUAAAUACAAUGGCUGAAAGAGAUUUGGGCUCAACCUUUUUGUUGCCACAUACGCAUCUAUAUAAGCCAGAGAAGAUACCGAGUGAAUUUUCUGGACUUGAUUCUCUGUAAAUGCUGAAACAUCAAGAUUGAACGACACCUUUAAAAGCAUAUGAUGUCAGCUCUAUAAUAUAAUUUUCAUCCCACCACCUCCUGCCCAACCGACGAAACAGGGAUGGAAAAAAAAAUAAAUUUAAGGUAUCAGUGAAGAGCAAACAAAUCUUAUGGUACAUGAUAACGAAUCGAUUUUAUUCGAUCUUGGUAAUUUCAAAGUGUAUAUUGUGUGCAAUAACAAGAAUAUCGACUGAUACUGAUCAUACUGAUAAGGAUGCGACUUUUGCGAAAAUUAUAAUCAAUCGAAAUCCUAUAGACAUUUGCCAGUUGCAUUUAUGAAAACAAACUACAAUAUAUUACGAGUAUUUACUACUAUGUCUGC